rnacentral:rRNA from 1 species
AUGGUGCAAGCCAUCGUCGCCGGUGGGAAGACACUGGAUCAGCACCGGAGGAGGGUCGUCAAGGAGGAGGAGGGAGAGGAGGCCGCGGCCGUGGCGAUGCCGAGAGUCCUUCGCGUCACGUUCGAGGAUCGGGACGCCACCGACUCCUCCAGUGACGACUCGCCGCGGCAGGGACGCCGCUUCGUGGAGGAAAUCCACCUCGAGCAGCCGGCUAGGAUGAUGGUGUCGCCGCAGCCGCAGGCUUCUCCUUUCCGGAGAGGGGCUGUCCUCGGCGCCAAGAGGAGGGCUGACUUCGUGGAGGAGCCCAAAUUCCGUGGGGUUCGGCGGCGGCCGUGGGGGAAGUAUGCGGCGGAGAUCCGCGACCCCAACAAGGGGGUGAGGCUGUGGCUCGGCACCUUCGACACCGCGGAAGAGGCUGCCAUGGUCUAUGAUAGCGCCGCCCUCCGGCUUCGUGGGCCAUCUGCCACAACGAAUUUUCCUACUUCGCCAUCCCCUUCGGCCGAUCCUGAUCAUGCUGUCUUGCCCGAUGCUGAUGGUGAUGUCGGCCACCUCCUUGCGGCGGCCACAUGCGAGGAGUCUAGUGAUGAGUCACAGUUUGUGGGCUCGCCGGUCUCUGUCCUCAGGCCGCUCGAGGUGAUGGCGUCUACAGUCAAUGCCAGCAAGCCUGAUGAGUCUACCGUUUCUGCCGGUUUGAAGAUUUCAGUGGACACGUGCCGCACAGGCGGCGACUACUCUCCGUUUUGCAACGCCGAUGUUAUUGUGCCGCCGGAGGACGAAGACUGCAUGUUCCCCGGCCUCUCAUUUGCUGCACCGACGAUUUUCGACGAUGAUGGUAUGAUGUCAUCACACCUUGAGUAUUAUGCAGCUAAUGUCGAGCCGGUGAGUUUAUUGGAGAUGGGCGAGCUUCCGAUGUGGCGAGAGGUGGAUGUCUUCUUUGACGAUGUUUUGUCUGCCUCACCUCUCACUGAGCUAUGA